rnacentral:rRNA from 1 species
UCUGGAAGAAUCUGGAGACAGGUGCUGCAUGGCUGUCGUCAGCUCGUGUCGUGAGAUGUUGGGUUAAGUCCCGCAACGAGCGCAACCCUUGCCUUUAGUUGCCAGCAGUUCGGCUGGGCACUCUAAAGGGACUGCCGGUGUUAAACCGGAGGAAGUGGGGAUGACGUCGAGUCCUCAUGGCCUUUAUGACCAGGGCUACACACGUACUACAAUGGCCGAUACAAAGGGCAGCGACACUGCGAGGUGAAGCCAAUCCCGUAAAAUCGGUCUCAGUCCGGAUUGGAGUCUGCAACUCGACUCCAUGAAGUUGGAAUCGCUAGUAAUCGUGGAUCAGCAUGCCACGGUGAAUACGUUCCCGGGCCUU